CUUUGAUCGGAGGCUCUGGAAGGAUGGGAUCCUUCAAAUAGCAUAAGUAGUUUAUUUUUAACAGAUACAUGUAUGCAAAUAUUACUUAAACAUAAAUCUGGAAAAUAUUUAACUUAGCUGAGUUGUGUUGGAGAGAGCAAUAAGUUUCUCAGAGAUCCCAAGAUGAAAAGAAAUUUACGUAGGAAGUCAGAGUGUUAAUAAAGUGUCUCUGGAAUGGAAACUAUCAUGUACACUUCACUAUUUCAGCUGGUAAAAUCAUUUUAUCUUUUUUUCUUGUCAAUUAUGGAUAGGCUUAAGAUUUAUCUGAAGAAAGAAGGGGAAAAGUUUCUGUAGAAUAUGUCGUCUAAUGAUGAUGUUUUCUACUUUAUUUUAUAAUGUUUGCUGGUAGAGGAUCAUUCACAAAGAAGAACAAGUAUAAUAUAGGAGAUUUGCAGGCAAUAGAAAAGGACUUCAGCAUUGGAGAAGCAACCUUGGAGAAUUCAGAAUCAAUAGGUAAGUACCGUUCAAUCUCUCUGAGUUCCCAUAGGCUCAGGUUAGUUGAUUCUGUAGGUUUUCAUGUGGUGUCCAUGACUGCUCUGGCUCCUUUAAUCUC
rnacentral:lncRNA from 1 species